GAUGAACGCUGGCGGCGUGCCUAAUACAUGCAAGUAGAACGCUGAAGGAGGAGCUUGCUCUUUCCGGAUGAGUUGCGAACGGGUGAGUAACGCGUAGGUAACCUGCCUGGUAGCGGGGGAUAACUAUUGGAAACGAUAGCUAAUACCGCAUAACAGUAGAUAUUGCAUGAUAUCUGCUUGAAAGGUGCAAUUGCAUCACUACCAGAUGGACCUGCGUUGUAUUAGCUAGUUGGUGAGGUAACGGCUCACCAAGGCGACGAUACAUAGCCGACCUGAGAAGGUGAUCGGCCACACUGGGACUGAGACACGGCCCAGACUCCUACGGGAGGCAGCAGUAGGGAAUCUUCGGCAAUGGACGGAAGUCUGACCGAGCAACGCCGCGUGAGUGAAGAAGGUUUUCGGAUCGUAAAGCUCUGUUGUAAGAGAAGAACGAGUGUGAGAGUGGAAAGUUCACACUGUGACGGUAUCUACCAGAAAGGAC
rnacentral:rRNA from 1 species